CGCUCAUUACGUAACAAAUUUCUUGCUUGUGAUCGCUCUAUUCUUUCUUUUGAUUGCUUUAUUCUCUUUGCUGUUAAAUUCUCAUUCUUAAUAACCAUACUCUUUCAUUAUUUCUACUGAGUUUGCUUCCUAAUCUUCUUUACUGCUUUGACAGUUAAUUCCUAACACUCAAUAAUGUUGUCAAUCCCCGGUAGUGGUGCCAAAAUGUGAUUGCUCAUUUUACUUAUUCCAAAUUAAUCUAAUGGAAAUAAAUCCAUAUAGGAGAAUUCGAACACAAGGAAAGACCAUGUAUAUGAGCUCCAAUUGUUAGGAUCAUGCAAUCAAUUACCUCCUGAAUGUAUCAUCUCUAUUUCUAAUAUCUGAACGCACAAAGAAACUAUAAUCUCCUCCUUCACCUUAUCGGUCUCUUCCUUACAGCAAUUCAGUCAUACCAAUAACUGCUAUUUUCACCAAUAUAUUCACCCUCAUAAU
rnacentral:lncRNA from 1 species